rnacentral:rRNA from 1 species
AUUGAACGCUGGCGGCAGGCCUAACACAUGCAAGUCGAGCGAGCGGCGGACGGGUGAGUAAUGUCUGGGAAACUGCCUGAUGGAGGGGGAUAACUACUGGAAACGGUAGCUAAUACCGCAUACCAUCAGAUGUGCCCAGAUGGGAGUAGGUAGUAGGGGGGGUAACGGCUCACCUCGGCGACGAUCCCUAGCUGGUCUGAGAGUAUGACCAGCCACACUGGAACUGAGACACGGGCCAGACUCCUACGGGAGGCAGCAUUGGGGAAUAUUGCCCAAUGGGCGAAAGCCUGAUGCAGCCAUGCCGCGUGGGUGAAGAAGGCUUUCGGGUUUUAAAGCACUUUCAGCGGGGAGGCGUUACCCGCAGAAGAAGCACCGGCUAACUCCGUGCCAGCAGCCGCGGUAAUUC